rnacentral:lncRNA from 1 species
UUGAAUUACAUGUUACAUGCUAUAAACUGUGAAAGUCAAUAUAUGACUAAGCUGAUUGAGUUAUGGAACUCAAUAUAUAUAUGAUAUAUGAUAUGGACAUAUAUUGUUUAAAGUGAUGAUGCAUGAAUGGUAUAAAGGAUUAUGAGAUAUAUGUUGAGCAUGAAACUACGUGUUAUAUGAAGCAUGAAAACUGUUAGAUUUGUUGGGC